GACGAACGCUGGCGGCGUGCUUAACACAUGCAAGUCGAACGGUGGAAGCGGAGCUUGCUCCGCUGGAUCAGUGGCGAACGGGUGAGUAACACGUGGGCAACCUGCCCCUCACUUCGGGAUAACUCCGGGAAACCGAGGCUAAUACCGGAUAUGACCUCCUUGGGCAUCCUUGGAGGUGGAAAGUUUUUCGGUGAGGGAUGGGCCCGCGGCCUAUCAGCUUGUUGGUGAGGUAGUGGCUCACCAAGGCGACGACGGGUAGCCGGCCUGAGAGGGCGACCGGCCACACUGGGACUGAGACACGGCCCAGACUCCUACGGGAGGCAGCAGUGGGGAAUAUUGCGCAAGGGGCGAAAGCCUGACGCAGCAACGCCGCGUGCGGGAUGACGGCCUUCGGGUUGUAAACCGCUUUCAGCAGGGAAGAAGCCGCAAGGUGACGGUACCUGCAGAAGAAGCACCGGCUAACUACGUGCCAGCCGCCGCCGUAA
rnacentral:rRNA from 1 species